AAAGAAUUAAAUGGAUGAAAUAUGAAGUUUUAUUAAAAGAAAAAGGGGUGAAAAGAACAAAGUUUUGUCCAUCUUUGUUCAUCAUAGCUGAAAGUUAGAGAAGAGAAAGGAGAGGAGAAAGCUCUUGAGUAUUCAGUCAUUAGGAGGAGGAAAAUUGAAGGAAAUCCCCAACCAUAGUGGGCUUGGAGCUGUGAGGGAAUUCGGAGUGGCCACCCAUUCUGAAAGUUUGAUUUUCUUCUGGUGAACUGGACACCCUUUUAUUUACGUUUGAAGUUUUGGGUUUUUAAAUGUAAUAAGGCCGCUUAAUUAUUUUUAAUGGUUUUAAUAUGUAUUACUAAGAUAGGUAAUACUUAUUUUAACUAUUGAAAUUGGAUAGCUUUAGGGCGCGUUUUCAAAAACAACAGUUGAUUUCAAAAUAACACGACAACAAGCAAAGCUUCCGCAAUGAAAGUAUUUUCCAAAAUUAA